GACAGCAGCCGCCACGGUAAUACGAAGGGGGCUAGCGUUGCUCGGAAUGACUGGGCGUAAAGGGCGCGUAGGCGGAUCGAUCAGUCAGACGUGAAAUUCCUGGGCUCAACCUGGGGGCUGCGUUUGAGACGGUUGAUCUAGAGUUUGGAAGAGGGUCGUGGAAUUCCCAGUGUAGAGGUGAAAUUCGUAGAUAUUGGGAGGAACACCGGUGGCGAAGGCGGCGACCUGGUCCUUGACUGACGCUGAGGCGCGAAAGCGUGGGGAGCAAACAGGAUUAGAUACCCCAGUAGUCCCUGUCUCUUAUAC
rnacentral:rRNA from 1 species